UACAGAGGGGGCGAGCGUUGUUCGGAAUUACUGGGCGUAAAGGGCGCGUAGGCGGCCCUCUAAGUCGAACGUGAAAUCCCCGGGCUCAACCCGGGAACUGCGUCCGAUACUGGAGGGCUCGAAUCCGGGAGAGGGAUGUGGAAUUCCAGGUGUAGCGGUGAGAUGCGUAGAUAUCUGGAGGAACACCGGUGGCGAAGGCGGCAUCCUGGACCGGUAUUGACGCUGAGGCGCGAAAGCCAGGGGAGCAAACGGG
rnacentral:rRNA from 1 species